rnacentral:rRNA from 1 species
UAGGGAAUCUUCCACAAUGGGCGCAAGCCUGAUGGAGCGACGCCGCGUGAGUGAGGAAGGUCUUCGGAUCGUAAAGCUCUGUUGCCAGGGAAGAAUAAGCGGAUGAGUAACUGCAUCCGUGAUGACGGUACCUGAGAAGAAAGCCCCGGCUAACUACGUGCCAGCAGCCGCGGUAAUACGUAGGGGGCGAGCGUUGUCCGGAAUUAUUGGGCGUAAAGCGCGCGCAGGCGGUCCCUUAAGUCUGGUGUAUAAGUGCGGGGCUCAACCCCGUGAGGCACUGGAAACUGGGGGACUUGAGUGCGGGAGAGGAAAGCGGAAUUCCCCGGUGUAGCGGUGAAAUGCGUAGAGAUCGGGAGGAACACCAGUGGCGAAGGCGGUUUUCUGGACCGUAACUGACGCUGAGGCGCGAAAGCGUGGGGAGCAAACA